AUCAUGGGGUAAAGGACUGUCCAAAUCUUCCCCGUCAGAAAAAGGUGGGACCAAUCACGAGUGAACGUUCAAGGGAUUAUUGACUCAGGAGCCUCCCUUUCAUACUUGGAUGUGAAUUUCUGUAACAUAAAUAAAAUACCCCUUCUCAAGAAA